rnacentral:rRNA from 1 species
UACGUAGGGUGCAAGCGUUGUCCGGAAUUAUUGGGCGUAAAGAGCUCGUAGGCGGCCUGUCGCGUCGGAUGUGAAAGCCCGGGGCUUAACCCCGGGUCUGCAUUCGAUACGGGCAGGCUAGAGUUCGGUAGGGGAGAUCGGAAUUCCUGGUGUAGCGGUGAAAUGCGCAGAUAUCGGGAAGAACACCUAUGGCGAAGGCAGCCCUCUGGGACGGUACUGACGCUGAGGAGCGAAAGCGUGGGGAGCGAACAGG